UGCUACAGACGCGCUAUGGCGGUCGCGGCAUGCACGCCUGUGUUGUGGUAUUUAGCUUCUAAUAUUUUCUACCUGUGAUGUUAUAUGUUUUAUUGCUUGCAGGGUGUGUGGUCAAGAACGAAAAUGAUCCGCCACUUUCUCCGUCGUCGGUGUUGGGUGAUGCUAGACCGUGAGUUGCAAUCUUCGUUGCUUAGUGGCCCUGGUUCGUCACACCGACGUGUACUAUGGUCCAAGCAGCCAGAAUGUUGGCACGCCUACAGUACUAACAGCCGAUCGAUUGUCUUGGGAAUUGAGACAAGUUGUGACGACACAGCGGUGGGUAUCGUCGAUGACGAGGGAAACAUACUCGGCGAAGCAGCCCACUCUCAGCUGGCAAAGCACAUUGAGUAUGGUGGCAUCAUUCCUCCCAUUGCACGGGACAUGCAUGCGGAAAACAUUGCACGAGUUGCUCAAGAUGCUCUGAAGCAAUGCCCUGUACCAUUAGAGGCGAUGACAGCCAUUGCUGUAACAACGCGCCCCGGCAUGGCUCUUUCAUUGCGUGUGGGCUUCGAUUUUGCUUGCAACCUGGCCCGCAAGUAUGGCAAGCCACUCAUCCCUGUGCACCACAUGGAGGCUCAUGCAACGGCUGUUCGGCUGCAGCACAGGGUGGAGUUUCCCUACCUAGUUUUACUAGUGUCUGGUGGCCACUGCCAGCUGGCAGUGGUGCGUGCCAUCGACGAUAUUGUGCUGCUGGGGCAAACCAUUGAUGAUGCUCCAGGAGAGGCCUUCGACAAGGUGGCCCGUCGAUUGAAGUUGCACAACCUGCCUGAAUGCCGCCUCCUCAGUGGAGGUGCAGCAAUCGAGCUGCAGGCCCGUGGGGCCAACCCUCACGCCUUCCCAUUCCCAGAGCCCAUGCUGGAUUACCGUAGCUGCGACUUCUCUUUUGCGGGCCUAAAGAACUCUGUUUUCAGAGAAAUCCUGCGCCUGGAAAAGCAACAUGGUAUCGAGGCAGACGCCCUGGUUCCUGAACUGCACGAUGUAUGCGCAUCAAUGCAGCGAGCUGUAGUGCAGCACUUGGUUCGACGCACCCAGAGGGCACUAGAGUUCUGUUCACGACAGGGCCUGCUGCCUCCACUGGCUUCCGACGAACCUAGACAAGAAAUGGCGGCUCCAACCGUCGUGGUUGCAGGCGGUGUGGCAUGCAAUGGUGUGCUCAGAGACACACUUGCACAGCUGUGUGACCAUCUGGGAGCCAGGUUUGUGGCCACACCUGCCAGGCUGUGCUCAGACAAUGGCCUCAUGGUUGCCUGGAAUGGGCUGGAACUGUAUGCAGCUUCACCAGCAUCAGCUGUUGUGGAUCUUGAUUCGUUUAGGGUUGAGCCAAGGUGUCCACUGGGAACAGAUAUUUCACAGUCAGUUGCCCAAGCAUCCAUCAAGCUGCAGAAGAUUAAGCUGAAAUUUGAUUGAACCAAUUACAAAUGUUUCUUUGCUCACAAAAAAAAAAAGAAAGAAAGAAAGAGGAAUUUGAAGGCCAGUGUCACAACUGAGGCUACAGAACACUAGAGCAUGGGUCUCCCAGUUAAUUUUGACCACUCCAAGUGGUCAGAUUUAACCAGGGAGUGUAAAUGUCUUUAUUGUACAUGGCCUAGGUAGAUGACCUAACUUUAACCACCCUAGGUGGUCAAAAUUAGGUCAUCUACAUGGGGUUCUUUAACAUGCUUUGAAGUCUUGAUACCUGGUCAUUGUUGCACUCUGGACUCACGAGAAUGAGGCUGCAGUAACUGAAAAUCAAAUCUGCAACCUUGUGCUCAGCAACAGAAUGCUGGUAUAGCCACCGAGCUGCUCCGGUGGGUAUUGUCAUGAUGUUUGUGCCCUCCGCCCACUAACUGGCUGAUCACUGAAAUAUAGAGUGGUUAACUAAAUCCCAAACUCAUGUAUUUAUUUUGUGGUUUGCUUCUACGACCAGAAGGAUGGAAAGACAAAGACGACAAACACAAGUAGCUACAGCUCUUCCGGAACUGUAUCACAAGUUUUGCUGUAUUCACGACUACAGAUGCUCGUGGUGUUCCCAUUUGUUCAUGGAAAAGCGAGCAAUUUUGACUUGCAAACAUGUCCGGUGUCUGGUUUCUAUUUUGAUCAAGACAACACUUUUGCAUCUUG
rnacentral:misc_RNA from 1 species